rnacentral:lncRNA from 1 species
AACACUCUCCCCUCCCCUCUUCUUCUCCGGGCACCGGCCCAAAGUCCGGUGAAGGGACCACCACGUCGGCCACCGGUCACCGGCGACGACGCUGCCGUAUGCGGUGGCCGAAAAAAGGAAAACCUCGGAUCCGGUCUUUUCAAACCCCCUAAACCCAAAUCUCGGUCCAAAAAUACCAAAAUAUUAAUAAAAAUCCCAAAAAAAGAAAAAAAAACAAACAAAGAAACCUUUCAGUUACCAGCCACCUAUCCUCAGAGGUGACUCCCUCAGCCGUCCUGGCGGCGUUACAGAACCGAGCAAAGGUAAGUUUCUUCCUCUUUCUUUUUAUUUUAUUUUCGCAUAUAUAAAAAAAUAAAAAAAUAAAAGUAAAAAAAAUAAUGAAAGGAAGCAAGAAAAUAGAUAUCAACCUUCGAUCUUUUAUUGAUGAUUUUGUUCUCUUUUGUAUUCUCUGUUGUUUUUUGUGAAAUACUCGUUUUUUAUCUAUUUCCCAAUUUCUUUUUACAGUAUUUUCAGUGGCUUUUUAUAGCCGUAAUGAAACAAGAAAAUAAAAAGAAAUCCAUUCAUAUCUGCUUGAUUCUCGAUUUUCUGAUUUUCUUGACAUCUUUGCUACCUAUACUGCUUUGUUGCCUUUCUUGUCGUGCAGGUACAAGUUUGGAGAAGGCUCGCGCGUGGAGAUUCGGCUUGUGCAGAGGGGCUUGGUUGUGGCGGCUGAAGUUUUACUCUAAAAACCCUAGGGAUUUCUGAAACUGUUUUGGGCAUUUGGGCCACAUUGUAAUUGGGCCACUAUUUUUAGCUUGGGCAUGGGGUUUGGGUUUUGUAAUUUGGGCUUAUGUAUUUUAGGCUAGGUAUAAUUUGGGCCGACUGAAAUUUGUAAAUGGACUGUUACAUUGGACUUUUAUUUUUUGAUUUGGU